rnacentral:rRNA from 1 species
GUCGGAGCCAUUAGGCUAAGGGCACAUCUGGUUGGGUGUCAUGCAAUG